UACAGAGGGGGCAAGCGUUGUCCGGAAUUAUUGGGCGUAAAGAGCGUGUAGGCGGUCCGGUAAGUCAGCUGUGAAAGUCAAGGGCUCAACCCUUGAAUGCCGGUUGAUACUGUCGGGCUAGAGUCCGGAAGAGGCGAGUGGAAUUCCCGGUGUAGCGGUGAAAUGCGCAGAUAUCGGGAGGAACACCUAUGGCGAAGGCAGCUCGCUGGGACGUUACUGACGCUGAGACGCGAAAGCGUGGGGAGCAAACAGG
rnacentral:rRNA from 1 species